rnacentral:rRNA from 1 species
GAUCAACGCUGGCGGCGUGCCUAAUGCAUGCAAGUCGAACGGGCUCGCCUUCGGGCGAGUCACGUGGCGGACGGGUGAGGAACACGUGGGCGACCUACCCCGGGGCGGGGGAUAGCCGCG